CAGCAUGAGGCAGAGACUAUGUUGGACAUCAGACACUUGUCAUGUCAGAGUCACGUGUCCAAUCAGAGGAGUCAUGUCCAAUCAGCAAUCAGAGUCAGGUGUCAAAUCAGUAACGAGUCCGAUUAGAGUCAUGUGUCCAAUCAGUCACGUGUCCAAUCAGAGGAGUCGCGUGUCCAAUCAGAGGCGUCAUGUCCAAUCAGAGUCAGGUGUCCAAUCAGAGGAGUCACGAGUCCGAUUAGUCCUGGGUCAGAUCAGAGGAGUCAUGUCCAAUCAGAGUCAGGUGUCCAAUCAGAGGAGUCACGAGUCCGAUUAGUCCUGGGUCAGAUCAGAGGAG